rnacentral:tRNA from 1 species
GCCAGAAUAGCUCAGGGGUAGAGCAACUCUCUCGUAAAGAGUAGGUCGUCGGUUCGAUUCCGACUUUUGGCU